CCUACGGGAGGCUGCAGUGGGGAAUAUUGCGCAAUGGGGGAAACCCUGACGCAGCGACGCCGCGUGAGCGAAGAAGGCCUUCGGGUUGUAAAGCUCUGUUGUAAGGGACGAAAGAUCAAGGGAAUAACUGCCCUUGAAGUGACGGUACCUUACCAGCAAGCCCCGGCUAACUACGUGCCAGCAGCCGCGGUAAGACGUAGGGGGCGAGCGUUGUCCGGAAUUACUGGGCGUAAAGAGCACGUAGGCGGAUGUAUAAGUCAGGUGUGAAAGACCGCAGCCUAACUGCGGGGUUGCACUUGAAACUGUAUAUCUUGAGGGCAGGAGAGGUUAGUAGAAUUCCUGGUGUAGCGGUGAAAUGCGUAGAAAUCAGGAGGAAUACCAGUGGCGAAGGCGACUGACUGGACUGACCCUGACGCUGAGGUGCGAAAGCGUGGGUAGCAAACAGGCUUAGAUACCCUGGUAGUC
rnacentral:rRNA from 1 species